CCAGUAUGGAGACUGAUUUCAUGAAGGUCCAGCGUCUGCUGCGGGCAGUGACCUCGGUCCCUUUCUGGGUCAAACGGCAGAGUGAAGCUGCAGCCAAAUUGAGGGUAAAUAACAGUCACAGCAGGAAGUAGGGAGAAUCCUGUACAGCUGAAACGAUCCUUGAGGAUCCCUGCCAUGAUGUUUCCAUUAGUUGUAUUCUAAUUAUAGACCUUGACAAAAAAAGCAAAAAGAAGACCCAGCAGAGCCAAGCCCACGGACAUCCUCAGCGCACAGUCUU
rnacentral:lncRNA from 1 species